GACUAACUCAACUAGAUUAGGAUUGAGGCUGAGUUCUGUUGUAUGGGGUUUACUAUUGAUUGUUCCUUGCUAACAGUUAUACAUACCGACUUCUUUCUUAAUAGGGUAGGCAUGGCAUGGUGAUCUUGCAUUUAAUAAUGCAUGAUAAAUGAUAAUGUGCACUCAAAUUUGGAUCGUGUAGCAUAUUUGUUCCUUCCAUAUUAAUAGAUGCAGCUUUUACCUACCUGUUUAUGUGUGGGAAAUAUUUUGGUUUUACGCAGCCAAUGUUAAUUGAAAGUUCCUUGCUUCCAUAUGCAGAUGGUUGGUUGCUGAAAUA
rnacentral:misc_RNA from 1 species